GUGAACGCUGGCGAUAGGCCUAACACCUGCAAGUCGCACGGCAGCACAGUAAGAGCUUGCUCUUCCGGGUGGCGAGUGGCGGACGGGUGAGGAAUACAUCGGAAUCUACUUUUUCGUGGGGGAUAACGCAGGGAAACUUACGCUAAUACCGCAUACGACCUACGGGUGAAAGCAGGGGAUCUUCGGACCUUGCGCGAUUGAAUGAGCCGAUGUCGGAUUAGCUAGUUGGCGGGGUAAAGGCCCACCAAGGCGACGAUCCGUAGCUGGUCUGAGAGGAUGAUCAGCCACACUGGAACUGAGACACGGUCCAGACUCCUACGGGAGGCAGCAGUGGGGAAUAUUGGACAAUGGGCGCAAGCCUGAUCCAGCCAUACCGCGUGGGUGAAGAAGGCCUUCGGGUUGUAAAGCCCUUUUGUUGGGAAAGAAAAGCAGCAGGUUAAUACCCCGCUGUUCUGACGGUACCCAAAGAAUAAGCACCGGCUAACUUCGUG
rnacentral:rRNA from 1 species